GUCGAGCGAAUGAUGUCUUCGGACAAAGUUAGCGGCGGACGGGUGAGUAAUACAUAUCUAACGUACCCCAUAGAGAGGAAUAGCCAUUGGAAACGAUGAUUAAUGCCUCAUAAGAUUUUACUUCGUAUGAAGUUUUGUUUAAAGAUGCGCUUGCAUCGCUAUGGGAUCGGGAUAUGCGACAUUAGAUAGUUGGUGAGGUAAUGGCUCACCAAGUCAACGAUGUCUAGCCGGGGUGAGAGCCCGAAC
rnacentral:rRNA from 1 species